CAGUCGAACGAGAGAGAGGAAGCUUGCUUCCUCAAUCGAGUGGCGAACGGGUGAGUAACGCGUGAGGAACCUGCCUCAAAGAGGGGGACAACAGUUGGAAACGACUGCUAAUACCGCAUAAGCCCACAGCUCGGCAUCGAGCAGAGGGAAAAGGAGCAAUCCGCUUUGAGAUGGCCUCGCGUCCGAUUAGCUAGUUGGUGAGGUAACGGCCCACCAAGACGACGAUCGGUAGCCGGACUGAGAGGUUGAACGGCCACAUUGGGACUGAGACACGGCCCAGACUCCUACGGGAGGCAGCAGUGGGGAAUAUUGCACAAUGGGGGAAACCCUGAUGCAGCGACGCCGCGUGGAGGAAGAAGGUCUUCGGAUUGUAAACUCCUGUUGUUGAGGAAGAUAAUGACGGUACACAACAAGGAAGUGACGGCUAACUACGUGCCAGCAGCCGCGGUAAAACGUAGGUCACAAGCGUUGUCCGGAAUUACUGGGUGUAAAGGGAGCGCAGGCGGGAAGACAAGUUGGAAGUGAAAACCAUGGGCUCAACCCAUGAAUUGCUUUCAAAACUGUUUUUCUUGAGUAGUGCAGAGGUAGAUGGAAUUCCCGGUGUAGCGGUGGAAUGCGUAGAUAUCGGGAGGAACACCAGUGGCGAAGGCGGUCUACUGGGCACCAACUGACGCUGAGGCUCGAAAGUGUGGGUAGCAAACAGGAUUAGAUACCCUGGUAGUCCACACCGUANACGAUGAUUACUAGGUGUUGGAGGAUNGACCCCUUCAGUGCCGCAGUUAACACAAUAAGUAAUCCACC
rnacentral:rRNA from 1 species